GACGAACGCUGGCGGCGUGCUUAACACAUGCAAGUCGAGCGGUAAGGCCCUUUCGGGGGUACACGAGCGGCGAACGGGUGAGUAACACGUGGGUGACCUGCCCUCAGCUCUGGGAUAACCCUGGGAAACCGGGUCUAAUACUGGAUAUGACUCCAUGACGCAUGUUGUGGGGUGGAAAGCCUUGUGCGGCUGAGGAUGGGCCCGCGGCCUAUCAGCUUGUUGGUGGGGUGANGGCCUACCAAGGCGACGACGGGUAGCCGGCCUGAGAGGGCGACCGGCCACACUGGGACUGAGACACGGCCCAGACUCCUACGGGAGGCAGCAGUGGGGAAUCUUGCGCAAUGGGCGAAGGCCUGACGCAGCGACGCCGCGUGAGGGAUGACGGCCUGGUU
rnacentral:rRNA from 1 species